UACGUAGGGUGCGAGCGUUGUCCGGAAUUAUUGGGCGUAAAGGGCUCGUAGGCGGUUUGUCACGUCGGGAGUGAAAACUCGGGGCUUAACCCCGAGCCUGCUUCCGAUACGGGCUGACUAGAGGUAUGCAGGGGAGAACGGAAUUCCUGGUGUAGCGGUGAAAUGCGCAGAUAUCAGGAAGAACACCCGUGGCGAAGGCGGCUCUCUGGGACGGUACUGACGCUGAGACGCGAAAGCGUGGGGAGCAAACAGG
rnacentral:rRNA from 1 species